AUUGAACGCUGGCGGCAGGCCUAACACAUGCAAGUCGAGCGAGCGGCGGACGGGUGAGUAAUGUAUGGGGACUGCCCGAUAGAGGGGGAUAACAACAGGAAAAGGUGGCUAAUACCGCAUAAUGUCGGAUAACCCAUAUGGGAUUAGCUAGUAGGUAAGGUAAUGGCUUACCUAGGCGACGAUCCCGAGCUGGUCGGAGAGGAUGAUCAGCCACACUGGGACUGAGACACGGCCCAGACUCCGACGGAGGCAGCAGUGGGGGAUAUUGCACAAUGGGCGCAAGCCUGAUGCAGCCAUGCCGCGUGUAUGAAGAAGGCCCUAGGGUUGUAAAGUAUUUUCAGUCGGGAGGCGUUACCGACAGAAGAAGCACCGGCUAACUCCGUGCCAGCAGCCGCGGUAAUAC
rnacentral:rRNA from 1 species